GCCCCAGUAGCCCAAUUGGCAGAGGCAGCGGACUUAAAAUCCGCGUGUUGCGAGUUCGAGUCUCGCCUGGGGCA
rnacentral:tRNA from 4 species